GCCCCAACGAUCACAAAGUAGCGGGUGUUGCUCUUAGUCGAUCAAUUUUCUCUAAUCUGAACCGGUGAUUCUAACAUUUUGAAAGUGCAAGCAAGUGGUCUAGGGUUCCUACUUGAGCUUGGUUGUCUACACUAGAGUAGGUGAUGGUGUACCUUUGGAGCAAGCUUUGGAAGUUGAGGAAGACCCAGCACCUAGUGCUUAGGAUUUCUACUAGCUCUUAUGUUAUAUAGCUCUUCAUUUUGAAAGACUUCUAGA